rnacentral:rRNA from 1 species
GACGAACGCUGGCGGCGUGCUUAACACAUGCAAGUCGAGCGGUAAGGCCUUUCGGGGUACACGAGCGGCGAACGGGUGAGUAACACGUGGGUGAUCUGCCCUGCACUUCGGGAUAAGCCUGGGAAACUGGGUCUAAUACCGGAUAUGACCUCCUAUCGCAUGGUGGGUGGUGGAAAGAUUUAUCGGUGCAGGAUGGGCCCGCGGCCUAUCAGCUUGUUGGUGGGGUAAUGGCCUACCAAGGCGGCGACGGGUAGCCGACCUGAGAGGGUGACCGGCCACACUGGGACUGAGACACGGCCCAGACUCCUACGGGAGGCAGCAGUGGGGAAUAUUGCACAAUGGGCGAAAGCCUGAUGCAGCGACGCCGCGUGAGGGAUGACGGCCUUCGGGUUGUAAACCUCUUUCAGCAGGGACGAAGCGCAAGUGACGGUACCUGCAGAAGAAGCACCGGCUAACUACGUG